rnacentral:rRNA from 1 species
AAUCAACGCUGGCGGCGUGCCUAACACAUGCAAGUCGAACGAGAAAGUGGAGCAAUCCAUGAGUAAAGUGGCGACCGGGUGAGUAACACGUGACUAACCUACCCUUGAGUGGGGAAUAACCUUCCGAAAGGAGGGCUAAUACCGCAUAAAGUCCUAAGGGUGAAACGCCUAAGGACCAAAGGAGUAAUUCGCUUUAGGAGGGGUCGGCGG